GCAACCAGUACUAUCUGUAUGUCAAUGCACUUAACAUUAUGGUACAAAACUUAAUGAGACAAACAACAUCCCAGAAAUACUGCCGCAGGUAGUGAGAAUCACAUGAACUGUACGAUAAGCAGGCCACCUGAUAAGGGGACACUACUGCUAUCGAUGAAUAGGUCAUUCUUUGCUAUCGAUGAAUAGCGAAAAGACCUCUAUUAAGGUUCGGUAGCUCCCCGAAAUACUAGUUCUUGCUUAGUCAGGCUAUACGUAAUUAGAGAAAGUAGCUAUUUUUGGAGAAAGUGACGUUAGCAAGUUAGCAAGAUCGUAGAUAGGUGCCUAGGAUUUGAGAGAGUAUAAAAAAAAAUCAGACUCUAUAAGCGGAAGAUACAAACUACGAUUGGACUCAUUAUUCUUGAGUUAAUUUCGACCCCAUUGAUUCAAAGUAAAAGACUUCAAUUACACAACAUGGAUAGCCCAGACCCAGUCACCACCUACGCUGGCCAUGACCAAAAUCCCUCCGAGCCAAAGCGUAAAUCUUCUCGGUGUAAUUGUACCAUUCUCUAAUUCAAGCUGCCUCAGAAGAAGGAACGCUUUUAUUAGCUGAUCUAGCUUAGAUACAUAUCAUAGUUCAAAUGCGAAUUGUGUUUGUCAAAAAUGUACUGUAAGCCAAAAGACUAUUAAUUUGACACAA